rnacentral:rRNA from 1 species
ACCUCGCUCAGAUUGAACGCUGGCGGCAUGCCUUACACAUGCAAGUCGAACGGCAGCACGGGGGCAAUCCUGGUGGCGAGUGGCGAACGGGUGAGUAAUACAUCGGAACGUGUCCUGUAGUGGGGGAUAGCCCGGCGAAAGCCGGAUUAAUACCGCAUACGCUCUACGGAGGAAAGGGGGGGAUCUUAGGACCUCCCGCUACAGGGGCGGCCGAUGGCAGAUUAGCUAGUUGGUGGGGUAAAGGCCUACCAAGGCGACGAUCUGUAGCUGGUCUGAGAGGACGACCAGCCACACUGGGACUGAGACACGGCCCAGACUCCUACGGGAGGCAGCAGUGGGGAAUUUUGGACAAUGGGGGAAACCCUGAUCCAGCAAUGCCGCGUGUGUGAAGAAGGCCUUCGGGUUGUAAAGCACUUUUGUCCGGAAAGAAAACCUCUGGGUUAAUACCCCGGGGGGAUGACGGUACCGGAAGAAUAAGCACCGGCUAACUACGUGCCAGCAGCCGCGGUAAUACGUAGGGUGCAAGCGUUAAUCGGAAUUACUGGGCGUAAAGCGUGCGCAGGCGGUCCGCUAAGACAGAUGUGAAAUCCCCGGGCUUAACCUGGGAACUGCAUUUGUGACUGGCGGGCUAGAGUAUGGCAGAGGGGGGUAGAAUUCCACGUGUAGCAGUGAAAUGCGUAGAGAUGUGGAGGAAUACCGAUGGCGAAGGCAGCCCCCUGGGCCAAUACUGACGCUCAUGCACGAAAGCGUGGGGAGCAAACAGGAUUAGAUACCCUGGUAGUCCACGCCCUAAACGAUGUCAACUAGUUGUCGGGUCUUCAUUGACUUGGUAACGUAGCUAACGCGUGAAGUGACCGCCU